CACCGCGGUUAUACGGAGGACUCAAGUUGACAGUCACCGGCGUAAAGCGUGGUUAGAUAUUUACACAAACUAAAGCCGAAAACAUUUACAGCAGUCACACGCGUGAAAGUAAUAAGCCCACUUACGAAAGUAGCUUUACAAUAUUUUGAGCCCACGAAAGCUGGGGUA
rnacentral:rRNA from 1 species